UACAGAGGUCCCGAGCGUUGUUCGGAUUCAUUGGGCGUAAAGGGUGCGUAGGCGGUUUUUUAAGUUUGAUGUGAAAUCCCGGGGCUUAACCCUGGAAUGGCAUUGAAUACUGAAGAACUAGAGUACUGGAGAGGAAACUGGAAUUUACGGUGUAGCAGUGAAAUGCGUAGAGAUCGUAAGGAAGACCAGUGGCGAAGGCGAGUUUCUGGACAGUUACUGACGCUGAGGCACGAAGGCCAGGGGAGCAAACGGG
rnacentral:rRNA from 1 species